UUGUAAGUGUUUAUGAGCGUUCGGUGGAUGCCUUGGCACCAGGAGCCGAUGAAGGACGUGGGAGGCUGCGAUAAGCCUCGGGGAGCUGUCAACCGAGCUGAGAUCCGAGGGUGUCCGAAUGGGGAAACCCGGCCACAGUGAUGUGUGGUCACCCGCGCCUGAAUGUAUAGGGCGUGUGGAGGGAACGUGGGGAAGUGAAACAUCUCAGUACCCACAGGAAGAGAAAACAAUAUGUGAUUCCGUUAGUAGUGGCGAGCGAACGCGGAAGAGGCUAAACCAUGCGCAUGUGAUACCCGGCGGGGGUUGUGUGUGUGGGGUUGUGGGGUUCAUCUGCCUGGUUCCGCUGGACUGGGCGGCAGUGAGAAAAGGAUGCGUUAGUCGAAGUGGUCUGGGACGGCCGACCGUAGACGGUGAGAGUCCGGUAGGCGAAAACGUGUUCUCUGUCGUGAUGGAUACCCGAGUAGCAGCGGGCCCGUGAAAUCUGCUGUGAAUCUGCCGGGACCACCCGGUAAGCCUGAAUACUCCCUGGUGACCGAUAGCGGACAAGUACCGUGAGGGAAAGGUGAAAAGUACCCCGGGAGGGGAGUGAAAUAGUACCUGAAACCGUGCGCUUACAAUCCGUCAGAGCCCGUGCGCCCCUUGGGGGUGGUGGGUGAUGGCGUGCCUUUUGAAGAAUGAGCCUGCGAGUUAGCGGCACGUGGCGAGGUUAACCCGGGUGGGGUAGCCGUAGCGAAAGCGAGUCCGAACAGGGCGCCCAUAGUCGCGUGUUCUAGACCCGAAGCGGAGUGAUCUACCCAUGGCCAGGGUGAAGCGACGGUAAGACGUCGUGGAGGCCCGAACCCACUUAGGUUGAAAACUGAGGGGAUGAGCUGUGGGUAGGGGUGAAAGGCCAAUCAAACUCCGUGAUAGCUGGUUCUCCCCGAAAUGCAUUUAGGUGCAGCGUUGCGUGUUUCACUCCGGAGGUAGAGCUACUGGAUGGUCUAGGGGGCCUACAAGCUUACCGAAAUCAGCCAAACUCCGAAUGCCGGGGUGUGAGAGCGCAGCAGUGAGACGGCGGGCGAUAAGGUUCGUCGUCGAGAGGGAAACAGCCCAGAUCGCCGGCUAAGGCCCCUAAGCGUGUACUAAGUGGAAAAGGAUGUGGAGUCGCGAAGACAACCAGGAGGUUGGCUUAGAAGCAGCCACCCUUGAAAGAGUGCGUAAUAGCUCACUGGUCAAGUGGUUCUGCGCCGACAAUGUAGCGGGGCUCAAGUACACCGCCGAAGCCGCGGCACUCACACAAGUCAUCCACCCGUGCCUUCGGGUUCGGGUGUAGUGGUGUGGGUGGGUAGGGGAGCGUCCUGCAUCCAGGGAAGCGGCAGCGUGAGCCAGCCGUGGAGGGUGUGGGAGUGAGAAUGCAGGCAUGAGUAGCGAAAGCGCAGUGAGAAACUGCGCCGCCGAAUGACCAAGGGUUCCUGGGCCAGGUUAAUCCGCCCAGGGUGAGUCGGGACCUAAGGCGAGGCCGACAGGCGUAGUCGAUGGACAACGGGUUGAUAUUCCCGUACCCGUGUGCAAGCGCCCCUGACGAAUCAGUUCUACUAACCGUCCAAAACCCAAACGAUCCCUUUCGGGGGACGGGCGGGGGCUGCACGGGACCUGUGCUGGUAGUAGUCAAGCGAUGGGGUGACGCAGGAAGGUAGUGGGGCCAGUCAGUGGUAACACUGGUGUAAACCGGUAGGGCGUUGCGUAGGCAAAUCCGCGCAACAUUUAAGCCUGAGAGGUGACGCAUAGCCGAAUGAGGCGAAUUCCAUGAUCCUAUGCUGCCGAGAAAAGCCUCUAGCGAGCAGGCACACGGCCCGUACCCCAAACCGACACAGGUGGUCAGGUAGAGAAUACCGAGGCGAUCGAGAUAACUGUGGUUAAGGAACUCGGCAAAAUGCCCCCGUAACUUCGGGAGAAGGGGGACCCGCGCCCGUGCACCAGCUGGCCUGGGAAGCGGGGACGGGUCGCAGAGACCAGAGAGAAGCGACUGUUUACUAAAAACACAGGUCCGUGCGAAGUCGUAAGACGAUGUAUACGGACUGACGCCUGCCCGGUGCCGGAAGGUUAAGAGGACCGGUCAGCCCAGCAAUGGGCGAAGCUGAGAAUUUAAGCCCCGGUAAACGGCGGUGGUAACUAUAACCAUCCUAAGGUAGCGAAAUUCCUUGUCGGGUAAGUUCCGACCUGCACGAAUGGCGUAACGACUUCUCUGCUGUCUCAACCACAGACUCGGCGAAAUUGCAUUACGAGUAAAGAUGCUCGUUACGCGCGGCAGGACGAAAAGACCCCGGGACCUUCACUACAGCUUGGUAUUGGUGUUCGGUACGGUUUGUGUAGGAUAGGUGGGAGACUGGGAAGCAGGCACGCCAGUGUUUGUGGAGUCGUCGUUGAAAUACCACUCUGAUCGUAUUGGAUGUCUAACCUCGGACCAUGAUCUGGUUCAGGGACAGUGCCUGGUGGGUAGUUUAACUGGGGCGGUUGCCUCCCAAAAUGUAACGGAGGCGCCCAAAGGUUCCCUCAGCCUGGUUGGCAAUCAGGUGUCGAGUGCAAGUGCACAAGGGAGCUUGACUGUGAGACCGACAGGUCGAGCAGGGACGAAAGUCGGGACUAGUGAUCCGGCACCGGCAWGUGGAAGCGGUGUCGCUCAACGGAUAAAAGGUACCCCGGGGAUAACAGGCUGAUCUUCCCCAAGAGUCCAUAUCGACGGGAUGGUUUGGCACCUCGAUGUCGGCUCGUCGCAUCCUGGGGCUGGAGUAGGUCCCAAGGGUUGGGCUGUUCGCCCAUUAAAGCGGCACGCGAGCUGGGUUUAGAACGUCGUGAGACAGUUCGGUCUCUAUCCGCCGCGCGCGUUAGAAACUUGAGGAAGGCUGUCCCUAGUACGAGAGGACCGGGACGGACGAACCUCUGGUAUGCCAGUUGUUCCACCAGGAGCACCGCUGGUUAGCUACGUUCGGAAGGGAUAACCGCUGAAAGCAUCUAAGCGGGAAGCCCGUUCCAAGAUAAGGUUUCUCCCACC
rnacentral:rRNA from 1 species